AGCCCAGAGCCUGAAUCAGUGUGUGUGUUAGUGGAAGCGUCUGGAAAGGCGCGCGAUACAGGGUGACAGCCCCGUACACAAAAAUGCACAUGCUGUGAGCUCGAUGAGUAGGGCGGGACACGUGGUAUCCUGUCUGAAUAUGGGGGGACCAUCCUCCAAGGCUAAAUACUCCUGACUGACCGAUAGUGAACCAGUACCGUGAGGGAAAGGCGAAAAGAACCCCGGCGAGGGGAGUGAAAAAGAACCUGAAACCGUGUACGUACAAGCAGUGGGAGCACAGAGCAAUCUGUGUGACUGCGUACCUUUUGUAUAAUGGGUCAGCGACUUAUAUUCUGUAGCAAGGUUAACCGAAUAGGGGAGCCGAAGGGAAACCGAGUCUUAACUGGGCGUUAAGUUGCAGGGUAUAGACCCGAAACCCGGUGAUCUAGCCAUGGGCAGGUUGAAGGUUGGGUAACACUAACUGGAGGACCGAACCGACUAAUGUUGAAAAAUUAGCGGAUGACUUGUGGCUGGGGGUGAAAGGCCAAUCAAACCGGGAGAUAGCUGGUUCUCCCCGAAAGCUAUUUAGGUAGCGCCUCGUGAAUUCAUCUCCGGGGGUAGAGCACUGUUUCGGCAAGGGGGUCAUCCCGACUUACCAACCCGAUGCAAACUGCGAAUACCGGAGAAUGUUAUCACGGGAGACACACGGCGGGUGCUAACGUCCGUCGUGAAGAGGGAAACAACCCAGACCGCCAGCUAAGGUCCCAAAGUCAUGGUUAAGUGGGAAACGAUGUGGGAAGGCCCAGACAGCCAGGAUGUUGGCUUAGAAGCAGCCAUCAUUUAAAGAAAGCGUAAUAGCUCACUGGUCGAGUCGGCCUGCGCGGAAGAUGUAACGGGGCUAAACCAUGCACCGAAGCUGCGGCAGCGACGCUUAUGCGUUGUUGGGUAGGGGAGCGUUCUGUAAGCCUGUGAAGGUGU
rnacentral:rRNA from 1 species